AGAAAGAUGUGAUAUAUUAUAGUUUCAUUAUUUAUUCAAUUCUAAGAAACAUGUAAAUUCAUUGACAACAACUAAGGUCUCAGACAUCAUGAUUAAAUGCUCAUUAUUUGACGCUUAAUUUCUUCAUUGUUCAAUUCAUAUUUUAAAAAAAUUACAUAAUUUAUCAGUGAAUAAUCAGUCUUUGCAGAUGAUACAUUAUGGCUGUUUUAUAUUGUAAAAAUCUUGUAAACUAAACUGAAAAAGUGAAAUAAUUUAAAAAUUUGCAUAUUUCUUUGGAAAAAAGAUUUAGUAUACGUUGAUUUCCGACUUGUUUGAAGUAUAUCAAGUUUAUUAAAGACGUGGUCGGUUGUCAGUCUAUCAUAGAAGCAUAAAUACACACAAGACGAAGUGUGUCUGUUCCUGGGAGAACGACAGAGAAAAUGUUCCGAGCACAUUCGGUUGAAAUUUGGACCCCGUCGAGUUUAGAACCUUUGCGGUUUCUUUGUAAAAGGCAUUACUGUUGUACACAUUUGAAAGCGAUUCAUUCUAAGAAGUUACGAAUCCGUUACGUAAAUAUUCCUUUGAGAACUUCCAACAAUGCAUUUAUGAUAGCUGUUUAAACUCAGACAACUACCGUUACUACACUCCGAGUUUCGAGGAGUCCGCCAUUGUUUAUGAGGUGUCAUGUCGAUUCGCCUCCGUUACAAGAACACACUGAACUUUAAUUUGUCAAUUAAUUUAAUGUUAAGCAAUAAUGAAAAUAUUACUUUAAAACAUUAAUGCAAAAUUAUAGAAAUAAAUUAUGAAAGAAUAUUUAAUUGAGUGUAAAUUAUAUUUUUUAAGUUCCAAAACCUUGAGGGUUCAAGAACGGAGGGGGUUGAAAUUUUACAGACACAACUUGUGUAAACCGAACGAUAUUAAAUCGUACGUUUCUUCAAUCUCUGAAAAUAUAAUAAUGAAAACUAAAGCAUUUUAUAAUUAGUUUCAUUUAAAGAUAUUUUUUGAUUAUUAUUAACAUAUGUUAAAAAAAAUUAUUUAACCAAAUGAAAGAGUCUCAGAAUACACAGUCAGCGAGUUGUUUUGAUUCUAUUACGUCACUUCCGCCCAGUGAUUACACAUUUUGAAUGAAAGCAGAUGGAUCUUCAACAUGAGCAAUGGAUAAAUUAAGCAUGGAACAUUCAAGAAGAUAAUGCAGCAGAUGUAGUUCAAAAAUUAUGCAGUGAAACCAGAAUAUUGGACAGCCCUAAAGAUAGUGAUCAUGGAACAUAAAUUUCAUACAGAGGUACAACUCUUCUGCCACCAAAGGGGCUAUAUGUGAAGCCUGAAGAAUUGCCACCAAGAAGUAUUGUCACCAAGACACUCUGGGUUUGUAGAAAAUAAUCAUUUAAAGGAUGGAGCAUUUUACCUACUAUGCAGUAAAUGCACAUUGCAAUAUAUGGAAUACAAGUGAAAUCAACAUGAGCAAAGGCAAAGAAGAUGCAACAAAGGAAGAUUCAUUAAGAACAUAUUGACAUAUUGAUAGUUAUCAACUAGUUAUCAUAUUCUGAUGUCGCUUAUAUUUCAAAUCAUUGCAUAUUGGUAUGUCAAUUCUAAUAUUGUAACAUUCCUUUUAAGCUAAUGAGUUAGUAUUGAUAUCAUUACCUGUUGUUUUUUAAAACAAUUUUAUUAAACAUGCUGAUUAUUUAAAGUGAUAGUCAGUACAUAAGAAUUAUGUGAUACUUAAGAUAUUGUCUCAUUAUUCUUCAAUUUAUUAUAAUAAAGUAUUUUAUAUUUGAUUUUUUAGGAGAUUUUACCCUUUUUAUAUACAAAAUGUAGAAGGUAAGAAUUUUCAUGAAUAGUUCAUGAAUUUUAUUUAUGAAUUAUUCAUGAAUAAAAUUCAUAAUGAUAUUCAUGAACUGUUCAUGAAGAUUCAUUAAACUUAUUCAUGAACAGUUCAUGAAGAUCCGAUGAACUUAUUAUUGGACAUUCAUCAAAUGAUGAAGCUUCAUGAAUAUAACUGUUCAUGAAUUAUUCAUGAAAAAGUAUGUUCAUGAAUAUUCAUCAACAUUUUUUCAUGAACAAAAAUUCAUGACUUUAAAAUGUCCAAUAAUAAGUUCAUGGGAUCCUCAUGAACUUUUCAUGAACAUUUCAUGAAUAUAAUUCAUGAAUCAUUCAAGGGAAAAUCAUGAAUUGUUCAUGAUCAUCUCGCAGGGGUCCUUUUGAGGGGUUUUAAUUAUUGUUAUUUAGCAUAUUUUUACCAAAGGGUUUGUUGUUUCACGGGGAGGGGGACACAUGUCUACAGACGGAAAUACAUUCCAAAAAACGAAUUUUGCUUUGUUAAUUUUCGAAAAAAAAUUAACAGAUAUGAAUUAAAAUGAAAUUUUACUUUAAUAAAUAUCGUAAAUAUGUUAUUAUUAAGUUUUUAUGCACAUAUUGGCCGCUAAAUAAUAUUUUCCUCACUCAUGGAGACCAAUUUCAAUGAAAUUUUUUAAGACCCCGCGUUAGCAAAACUUUUGUUUAAAAAUAAAUAAUUUGAUUACAAAUUUUAUUUUGAUAUAAAUUGAUUAGGAUUUGAUUAUACCUUUUUAGUAGAAAACUUAAGUAGAAAUUCCCAAAUAUUUGGAUGUAAAAUGUAGGCGGGAAACGGGCGUUAGCGUUCGCAGUUCUUAUUUGUGUUCCAAGAAACUAUUCAGUAUUGCGAUAAUUACUGUUUGAUUGUUUAAUGAUCUUCAUAUGAGAGAGAGAGAGAAUACCAAUAUGAGUUUAAUUUUAAGUACUACAUUUUACUUGUAAUUCAGUGUAAUAAGUUAGAUUUAUAGUUUCCAUUAUACUGAACCCUUUUCCCUAAAAUUGCAAUAGAAUCUAUGCAGUCAGAGUCCAUGUGCUAUCCCUGUCAAUCAAAUCAGCCCGCGAGAAAGACCACGUGCUCCUUCCAUGAUAAGGAAAAAAUGUCGUUGUAUUGUUUUUUUAAGUCCGCAAAAUAGAAAUAUAUUUAACAAUGAAGAUUUAGUGUUUGAAAUGUUUAGUUUCUUCUUUCUUAUAAUGCAUGUAUGAGGGUUGGAAUAUUGCGUUGUAAAAUCUCUCUCUCUCUCUCUAAGUGUGUACCCUUGUGCAAUCAUUUUAGAAUUACUAGAUACGACCUCGUUACGAGUAGGUCUUCCGUCCAAUUUUUUUUAUAGUUUAAAUGAUACCAUGAAAUAUCGAUACAAUUUCAAAAUUACCCCCCCCCCCCCCCCAAAUUUGAAGAUAAAGAAUAAAAAACCUUAAUUACGUCAAACAUGGGCCUAACGAUGACCUUUUCAAACCGAUAAUGUAGAGAUCAACAACUUUGAUUUUAUAAUGCAUAACAAAAUAUUUAUCGUUUUCAAGUUAUUCGUAAUAGACUUUACGAGUCUCUUGGUCCCUAAUUAAAGGAACCAGCCCCUUUUUCUUGAUUUUAUUGGAUAGAACUUUUGAUUCUCUACUACUUUUGUUCUAUAUGUCUUAACAAAAUAUCAACUGAUAAAAAGAUACUGAUCAAAACAUAUGAACAUUUUGAUUCGAAAUCUGUACCCCAUUUUCGUGCCUAAGCGAGCUCCAAGGAAUAGCGCCACUGGUGCAAAACAACUAAAUAGUUCACAACUUCAAACCAUGCUCUACCUAUCCUGAAAAUUUCAAAGUCAUAUCUCUUAUAGUUUCUGAGAUCAGCUCUGCACAAAAUUGGUCGUAAAAAAUUAAAAAAUCGACCGUAAAUCCGGACCGGAAGUGACGACGAGAAAAAAUUCAAAAACAUAUAAAAUUCAGAUAAUGUCCCAUCAUCUGUGAAAAAAUUGUUGAGAUCGGUUGAGGAGUUUUAGAGAAAUCGCGUGCACAAAAUUUGGAAAAAAAAAAAUAAUAAACAGUACGAAAACAAUAAGGUCUUCCGUUGGAAACGGAAGACCUUAAUAAGAGUUCUGUUUGUAUGAAUUUAAUUUACCGGUAUUUAUUUUAGAUCUAUGGUUUUUUAAAAGAAUGAUUUCAACACAAUGACUAAAAGUUUGUAAAGUACACGAUGUAAUAAGAUUUUUCGUUAAAAUUUCGACGCUAUUUCACAUCACACAUAUUAGAUUGGAUAAAGUAAAUAACGAUGUGUUUGCUCUAAAUGCUUGCAAAAAGCAUUCAUCUUUUUUAUCAACCGGGUUUUUUUGGUACAUACAUGUAUGUGUACCCGGUAAAUAAUUUCUUAUCGCAAGUUAAUACCUUGUGAAAUUCCCGCAUUUAUAGAGUUGCUGAAUUGUUCUCCUGAUCCACGCGUCGAUAAUCUUACGUGUAGUUGUUGGUGUACAUAUCUACAGACAUUUUUUUUUGUUUGAUAGAGAUAGAGAAAUCAUGGAAUUACAAAGUAGAAGUAAGAUAUAUUCAGACCAUACACACGACGGGUUGUGAUGAGUUACCAAACAGGUGUCCGUGGAAAGGUGUGAAUAAGGGCAUCUCGAGUACACCUGUUCAGACGUCCAAAUAUAUACACAGUUAGUUGUAAAUUACAAUGACACCUAACAAGACAGACAAUAACACCUGUUGUGUAUAGACCCCAAGAUAAAAGACAAUGUUGUGUAUCUGAUCAGCUUCCGUACAUCGCACGAGUGAUUUUUUCAUGUGAAAUCGUGAGGCCAUUACCAGCUAUACGGAAAUAAAGUUGACAAGAAUAGAAUUCCUGGGUCCCCCGCAGGUCAAGCAGUAUACUAGUAUCGAGCAAGGCUGAUUUUCGAACUUGACCAAGGUAAUAGUGGAAUAAACAUUUGGUAUAAAUUUCAUGUAAAUCCGUCAAAAUUUGUAGGCAUGAGAGCGCUUACAAGGUCAAUUUUUGGAUAAAACGUCAAUAUUGUGGUCAAAGUCCCAUAACUCCAACAAAAAGUAUCGACAAAUGCUGAUUUUCGAACUUGACCAAGGUAAUAGUGGUAUAAACAUUUGGUAUAAAUUUAAUGAAAAUCUGAGAGCGCUUACAAAAAAGUGUGACGGACGGACACACGGACACACGGACGCACGGACACACAGACCCACUUUGCGUGGUGCGGCGGGGGACAAAAACUGUCCCAUGCCACCUUAACGCAAUAGCCAUCCUAGAUGCCACUUGUCCACUGCUCUGAAAGAUUUAGUAUAAAGUCCAGGUGAAUUUCCAAAUGCACCUUUCUGACCAUAUUUCUUGAUAAGUAGUGACUCUACAGAGUCAUCUAAAGAGGGCACAUUCAAGAAGUCCUUACUGUCUUUAUUGACUGGAAACAAAGUCUUGUAACUGUCUUUAUAUGCUGUAAGUUUGGAGAGAGUAUCCGUCCUCUAUGAUUUAUUGAUAAUUUCCUUCCAACUUAACUCCAGACACAAACAACAUCUGUAUUUUUUGUCGAAGAAGCAUCAGAUCCAAAAAUUCCAGUUAGUUUACUUUCAGUGUUUUCAUUAUUUUCCACAGGUUUUGUCUCAUAGUAUUUGGAAAAACGAUCUUUUUCCUCUCCAAAAUUAUUGUCUUGAACAUCUGAUCUCGGACUCUGACAAGUUCCUCUACUGAAUACAUGACUUUCUUGUUCUGGUGGUAAGUAAAGCCGAAAGCAAUGAAAUUAUCUUAUCUCUAAGGAGACAAACCCUACCAUCUUGGAGGCAACUAUUGCCAAGGCAACCAGCCAGAUGGUUAUUGCCACUAAUUUCAUUUGCCACCACUUGCAUUCUUCCUAGGCCUUCGACAUUAGAUGCUAGAUUCCCCUCGAUGGUGAAUGCUGCUCCUUCAACAGUGGAUAAUUCUUACCCAGUGACUGAUCCUUCCUCAUUAGUAGAGCUGUCCUCCUGCUCAUUGGUAGAGCUAUCUUCUUGCUCAUUGGUGGAGCUGUAUUCUCGCUUGUUGUAAGAGCGUUGUCUUUCAAUGGAAUUCACAACAGUAGCAACAAAUACUGACAACAUCAAGAAAAUAUCCUUUUCUGAUUUU